GCUUAAGGAGGGGCUUGCGACACAUUAGUUANUUGGUAGGGUAAAGGCCUACCAAGACUAUGAUGUGUAGCUGGACUGAGAGGUUGAACAGCCACAUUGGGACUGAGACACGGCCCAAACUCCUACGGGAGGCAGCAGUAGGGAAUUUUCGGCAAUGGAGGAAACUCUGACCGAGCAACGCCGCGUGAACGAUGAAGUACCUCGGUAUGUAAAGUUCUUUUAUUAAGGAAGAAAAAAGAGUGGAAAAACUCCCUUGACGGUACUUAAUGAAUAAGCCCCGGCUAAUUAUGUGCCAGCAGCCGCGGUAAUACAUAAGGGGCGAGCGUUAUCCGGAAUUAUUGGGCGUAAAGGGUGCGUAGGCGGUUUAAUAAGUCUAUAGUUUAAUUUCAGUGCUUAACGCUGUUGUGCUAUAGAAACUGUUUUACUAGAGUGAGAUAGAGGCAAGCGGAAUUCCAUGUGUAGCGGUAAAAUGCGUAAAUAUAUGGAGGAACACCAGAGGCGUAGGCGGCUUGCUGGGUCUUUACUGACGCUGAGGCACGAAAGCGUGGGGAGCAAACAGGAUUAGAUACCCUGGUAGUCCACGCCGUAAACGAUGAGUACUAAGUGUCGGGUAAAACUGGUACUGAAGUUAACACAUUAAGUACUCCGCCUGAGUAGUACGUACGCAAGUAUGAAACUUAAAGGAAUUGACGGGACUCCGCACAAGCGGUGGAUCAUGUUGUUUAAUUCGAAGAUACACGAAAAACCUUACCAGGUCUUGACAUUUUCUUGCGAAGUUAUAGAAAUAUAAUGGAGGUCAUCAGGAAAACAGGUGGUGCAUGGUUGUCGUCAGCUCGUGUCGUGAGAUGUUAGGUUAAGUCCUAAAACGAGCGCAACCCUUGUCGUUAGUUGCCAGCAUGUAAUGAUGGGGACUUUAACGAGACUGCCAAUGA
rnacentral:rRNA from 1 species